UGGGGAAUCUUGGACAAUGGGGGCAACCCUGAUCCAGCCAUGCCGCGUGAGUGAUGAAGGCCUUAGGGUCGUAAAGCUCUUUCGCCUGUGAAGAUAAUGACGGUAGCAGGUAAAGAAACCCCGGCUAACUCCGUGCCAGCAGCCGCGGUAAUACGGAGGGGGUUAGCGUUGUUCGGAAUUACUGGGCGUAAAGCGCACGUAGGCGGACCAGAAAGUUGGGGGUGAAAUCCCGGGGGCUCAACCCCGGAACUGCCUCCAAAACUAUUGGUCUAGAGUUCGAGAGAGGUGAGUGGAAUUCCAAGUGUAGAGGUGAAAUUCGUAGAUAUUUGGAGGAACACCAGUGGCGAAGGCGGCUCACUGGCUCGAUACUGACGCUGAGGUGCGAAAAGUGUGGGGAGCAAAACAGGAUUAGAUACCCUGGUAGUCCAACACCGUAAAACGAUGAAAUGCCAGUCGUCGGGUAGCAUGCUAUUCGGUGACACACCUAACGGAUUAAGCAUUCCGCCUGGGGAGUACGGUCGCAAGAUUAAAAACUCAAAAUGAAUUG
rnacentral:rRNA from 1 species